rnacentral:tRNA from 1 species
GCGCCCGUAGCUCAAUUGGAUAGAGCACCGGUCUUCGGAACCGGGGGUUGGGGGUUCGAGCCCCUCCGGGCGUAC